CACAAAUUCACCACAACAUUUAAGUGUAGCUCCAUCUGCCCCUCUUCUCAGUCCCUUUUUGGCGCUUGACUGUUAUUUUUUCAAUAAAAGGGAAAAGUACUCUCAUUCUAUUCUUUCUACGGGGCUCCAGAGUCUCGGAGACUGAGAACAUCUCUCUAGCCUGAAGCGGGUCUGAAGUCUUCUGAGAUCACUGCUUCCCGGGAGGUAAGUGUGGUAGCCGGAAGAUCAGCCCAUUUUGUGGGUCACGGAGGCCAACAGAUCCCAGAGGUAUCCGGGAAUGAGCUUCAUAGGCUUCCAAGGGCCCAGCCAGCUGGGAAGAGCCAACUGUCCUGUUUCUCAGUUUCCAGGAUCUGUUCAUCCACGUCGUCACUGGAGUUUGCCCAAAAGGAAGAGAGGAGGAGAGCCCAGCAGGAGCGGUCCGAGUUUCUGCAAGACAGAAAGAGAGAACCUCAUUCUUCCCAUUGUGCUGAGAGAGGCACAGAGAAAGACAAAACCAUCGCCUGGGGUCACAGAGGGCAGUGGCUGUGAUGGAUCUGAGGCCAACUCCAUCCCCAGAUCCUGCCUAGCAACUUCCUUCUGGGACGAAGGACCCAGGACAUGUCACAGUCCCUCUAAUUCAUCCAGCCCAACAUCUGUCCUCUGAACCCUGUGCACACUCAUCCAGAUGGCACAGAACGGCCACCUUUCUGGGAAGCAGAAUUCUCUAAGGCUUUGAGGCUAGGUCUUAUGGGAUUGUCCCCACCUGUCAGUAGAAGGGAUGGUUAGGGCCCAAUAUGGCGCAGCAUUGACCCUAUUGUUGAUAGAACCAGAGGGUCAGAAAUUUGCAAAAAUGUCAAAGUCCUACAUUAGGUCACAGAGCAAUUCUCCAGUUCCUCCCUGUCCCACCCUGUCUCCUCACUCCUCUGAAGCACCUGCUGUUUACACACCUUUCCCACUCUUAUCCCACUAUCAUCUCUAGCUAUCUUCCAAGCACGGAUAUAUACAAGGAACCCCUUCCCCACCCCUAGAGCAUCAAACCUUCUUUCUCCCACUACUGAAACAUCACUGGAAUUUCCACUUCCCGGGCUAGGUUUUCCAGACAGAUUUUGUUAUCGUUGUGAUUGUUGUUGCUGUUUUUCUCUAACUUCACAGAGCACGGAUUCUGGCCACAUUUGCCCCAGGUAAAUGUUCGGACAUUAUCUGUCCAUGUCUGUUCCAUGGUUGCCAUUCAGUUGUGUUUUCCUGCAAGAGAGUGUGUGCUGGGCGGCUUUCACACAUUCCUCCAGGUCCUCCCUCCAACCUUGCCCCUGCUCUGGGUCUCAGGAGGUGAUCUUGAUGGACCAUGUCAAGGAGCUCCCUUGCCCUGUGGUUUUCAUCUGGAUCCAGCCAGUGGGAGGCACCAUCCAAGGGUCAAAGACAAGGGAGACAGUGCAGCCCGAGGAGCGAGUCCCCAGCCCUGUCCCGGGUCGACCAGCCUCCUCUGCAGAAGUCACGCCAUCCUCUCCAUAGACCUACCGCAUUCGUUUCCUGUGGCUGCUGUAACAAAUGACUAUGAACGUGGUGGCUUACAAUGACAGAAAUUUAUUCUCUCACAGUCCUGGAGGUCAGAAGGUGGUACCAAGGUGUCGGCAGGGCUGUGCUCCUUCAGGAGGCUCUGCAGGAGAAGCUGUUCUCCGCCUCUUUUGGCUUCCAGUGGCUGUCAGUGUUCCUCCACUUGUGACCCCACCACUCCAGUCUCUGCUCCUGUGUUCACAUUGCCUCCUCCUUUCCUCUGUCUUCUCUUCUGUCUGUCUCAAAGCCCCUCUGCCUUUCUUUUAUAAGGACACUUGUCAAUGAAUUUAGGGCUCACAUGGAUAAUCCAGGAUAAUCUCCUUAUCUCAAGAUCCUUAACUUAAUUAGAUCUGUAAAGACUCUUUUUUCCAAAUAAAGUAACAUUCACAGGUUCCAGGGGUUAGGACGCGGACUUAUCUUUGGAGGGGCCACCAUUCAACCCACUACCCCACUCAUUCUGGGUUCUAAUAAUUGCUCCCUCUCAAUGCCGUUAUAGGCCUAGGGGUUAUGAUGCUGCUAUUAGUCUUGGGGCUUUGCACCAUCCCUGGUUGGGUCUUUAUCCUUCCCACACCUUGUAAACAGUCUCUUUAUUAAACUCUCUUCUAACUGCC
ensembl:lncRNA